rnacentral:rRNA from 1 species
AUUGAACGCUGGCGGCAGGCCUAACACAUGCAAGUCGAGCGGAGCGGCGGACGGGUGCGUAAUGCCUAGGAAUCUGCCUGGUAGUGGGGGAUAACGUCCGGAAACGGGCGCUAAUACCGCAUACUAUAAGAUGAGCAUAGGUCGGAUUAGCUAGUUGGUGGGGUCAAGGCCUACCAAGGCGACGAGCCGUAACUGGUCUGAGAGGAUGAUCAGUAACAAUGGAACUGAGACACGGGCCAGACUCCUACGGGAGGCAGCAGUGGGGAAUAUUGGACAAUGGGCAAAAGCCUGAUCAAGCAAUGCCGCAUGUGUGAAGAAGGUAUUCGGAUUGUAAAGCACUUUAAGUUGGGAGGCGUUACCAACAGAGUAAGCACCGGCUAACUUCGUGCCAGCAGCCGCGGUAAUUC